rnacentral:lncRNA from 1 species
ACGCGGACACCCAGGUACUGCAGGCAGAAGAGCGCGGCCAGCGCGCCCCAAAGGGCCGCUGUGAAGAGGCUGCAGCUGAAGUAGAGCAGGAAGCGUAUAAAGCCGUAGAGCCAGCGGGUCUUGACAUACACAUCGAAGUUGUUGUACUUGGUGCGAGCCAGGUGAGAGGUUCUCAGCGGUCCGCAGGCUGCGUGCAAGCAGGUGGUGUGCGGGCCGUGGAAGGAGCGCACCCGCCGCGGGAUGGGCAUGACCGGCAUUGGGCCUGGGCGGCAGUGCUGUUUUGCAGUGGCGGUGCAGUGUCCGGAUGGCCAGCAUAGGUGUCAUCAGCGUCUAGGAGCCCUCAGCUGAGCCUUGGGGGAGGUGCUGGCCUGCAGAGAGAAAUACAGAGAGUGCCAGGUUACCACCUCACCUCCCACUGCUCUUGCUCCGUAAAUUGAGGCACCAAGACCUCUUCCCUGGGGCUGCCUGUACACAACAAAAGCAUUACUGGCUUGUCUAGGCUGGACAUAGUGUCAGAGUUCUCCAAACUGGGACACAGAGAGGAGAAAUGACGUGUGGUUUCCUUGUUUCAGCAAGC